UUUUUUGUUUUUGUUUUUUUUUGUCUUUUUGCUAUUUCUUUGGGCCGCUCUCACGGCAUAUGGAAGUUCUCAGGCUAGGGGUCGAAUAGGAGCUGUAGCCACCGGCCUAUGCCAGAGCCACAGCAACAAAGGAUCCGAGCCGCGUCUGCAACCUGCACCACAGCUCACGGCAACGCCGGAUCGUUAACCCGCUGAGCAAGGGCAGGGACCGAACCCGCAACCUCAUGUGGGUCGAGGAUCCAGUGUUGCUGUGAGCUGGGGUGCAGGUUGAGGACGCGGCUCGGACCUGGCGUUGCCGUGGCUGUGGUGUAGACUGACAGCUACAGCUCUGACUGGACCCCCAGCCCGGGAACUUCCAUGUGCGGCCCUAAAAGGACAAAAGACAAAAGUAAAUAAAUUAAUAAAUAAAGGCAUUAGUCCAAGUGUGCAUUUUAUUUGAGGGCUUAUUUAAUGCCCUCUUUUUGAAAAUAAAGUUGUACAGACAAGAGGGCCAGCUUCUUUCUUUUUGUCCCCACAGCACCUGACAGUGUCCUGCAUGGUACUAGGCACUUGAUACAUUAGUUAGUAGAGGAUUGAAAACUCGGAGACAUAUCUUCCAAGAGUUAUUUUUGUUAACUGAUACAGAGUUCUCAUUCACUUGAGGAAGGAAGUGGGAUUUUUGCAAAGAAUGGAAAAUGAAUGCUCUCUGCCCGUAUCAAGAUGUGUCUAUUGCGGAAAACAAAGGCAUGUUGAUUUCCACUUCGCUGUGUCCUCAACAGCUAAUCCUGAGAAUCUUGGAAAAAUUAGUUGGGAACGACUUCAUUGAAUUUCAGAGGAUGGCAUUCUAUUUAACAUUUCCAAAUAUUCUUUUUUGUUGUUGUUUUUUUAGGGUUGUACCCACGGCCUAUGGAGGUUCCCAGGGGUCUCAUCGGAGCUGUAACCACUGGCCUACCCCACAGUCAGAGCAACACCAGAUCCGAGCCGCGUCUGCGACCUACACCACAGCUCACAGCAACACUGGAUCCUUGACUCACUGAGCAAGGCCAGGGAUCGAACCUGCAGCCUCAUGGAUGCCAGUUGGAUUCGUUUCCGCUGCGCCAUGAUUGGAACUCCCAACAUUUCCAAAUAUUCUACAUUCUAUUCUGCUUCUUUGAAAGUUUCAAAGUGCACCUUCUCUAAUGGGAAUUCUCUGUUUAGCCUCACCUCAGUAUUGAUAGAUGCUUUCUGCCGCCGUCAAUCCAAAUGUUAGGUAAUAUGUAGUUUUCAUUUGCUCUGUUCCUUUGUAACUAUUUACCAGUCUCUUUUGCCAGUUUGUUUAUAUUAGCAGGGAGUCUGUUUCCCAUGUCUUUUGUACCUCCCACGCUCUCGUAUUUGACAAAUGGCCUUUCGUUAAUAGAUCGUCAAACUCCUGUGACCUCAGGAAAAGUCGCCAUCCCUUUAGUUACUAAAACAUGGUUCCAGAAUGUAGUUAUUGUUGUGACGGAGUGUCUGUGCCCUCUGCCCUCCCCAGCUCACACGGUGGGACCCUGACGCCCCCUGCGAUGGUGGAGCUCUGGAGAGGUCGUUCGGUUUAGAUGAGGUCGUGAAGGUGAGGUUCCCACGAGGAGCUUCCCGUCCUCCUAAGAAGACAGAAACGUGCUCUCUCCCCACCAUUUGAGGACAUGGCAAGAAGGGGGUCGAGGGCAAAAGCGAGGAAGAGAGCCCUCUCCAAGGAACUGAACUGGCUCAUACCUUGACCUUGGGUCUCCAGCCUCCAGGACUGUGAGAAACCAGUUCCUAUUGUUUAAGCUGUUCAGGCUGUGGCAUUUCUUCAUGGCAGCCCCUGCAAGCUAAUCUAGCUACCUUCUUCAUAAGAAAACAAAUCAAAGUCAAUCUUUAU
rnacentral:lncRNA from 1 species